rnacentral:snRNA from 15 species
ACGUCUGGCGAUCAGUAUCAAUGGGGGCGUUCCAGCUUUUUACUGGUUUGCCCUCGUUUCGAACAUGGUUCUUGCCUUUUACCAGAACCAUCCGGGUACUGUCCCAACUAUGGACUCAAUACUCUGUCUAAUUUUUGGCAGCCUUUUUUUAAAGAAA